rnacentral:rRNA from 1 species
GACGAACGCUGGCGGCGUGCCUAAUACAUGCAAGUAGAACGCUGAAGGAGGAGCUUGCUUCUCCGGAUGAGUUGCGAACGGGUGAGUAACGCGUAGGUAACCUGCCUGGUAGCGGGGGAUAACUAUUGGAAACGAUAGCUAAUACCGCAUAAGAGUAGAUGUCGCAUGACAUUUGCUUAAAAGGUGCAACUGCACCACUACCAGAUGGACCUGCGUUGUAUUAGCUAGUUGGUGAGGUAACGGCUCACCAAGGCAACGAUACAUAGCCGACCUGAGAGGGUGAUCGGCCACACUGGGACUGAGACACGGCCCAGACUCCUACGGGAGGCAGCAGUAGGGAAUCUUCGGCAAUGGACGGAAGUCUGACCGAGCAACGCCGCGUGAGUGAAGAAGGUUUUCGGAUCGUAAAGCUCGGUUGUAAGAGAAGAACGAGUGUGAGAGUGGAAAGUUCACAAUGUGACGGUAUCUUACCAGAAAGGGACGGCUAACUACGUG